rnacentral:misc_RNA from 1 species
GCCGAGGGGUGGUUGGUCGAUGGUCCGAUGUGCGAACUCGAAAAUUGCGAAUUCGGGUGAAAUAUUUCCAUGUUUUUUGCUCGAGCUUAGAGAAAGGAGAGAGAGGAGAUUAAACGUUAAAGAUAGUUUAUUAUUUACAUCAUCUUAAAAAAGAAAACGUGGAACUCGGGAGCUGCCACCGCUAAGCAAACGGGUGCCCGAGUCUUUUCUAGGGGCGCACAAAAACGACACGCGGUUGUCGAAAAAUGGCGAAAACCUUUCGCUCGUUGUCAGUAUUGACUUUGUUUAACAAUGGACAGACAACGUCAAAGUUUCUUGAACCAGUUGCCCUUGUCGUUAAUUACGACCCACAAGGGCUCAGCCUCGAAUUCAUCUUAGAUGAUUCUACUUUAAAAGAAAAAGUUUCAUUAUUAGAAUUUCCUGUAACUCAUACUACUGAAUGCUCUAGGGUUUCAUCCCGAAGUUAUGUUUUUACAUUGGAUACAGAUACUUUGUUAGUCACAUUUCACUCUGAUGCAGAUUUUCGAAACUUUCAUUCGCUAAUAAUAAAAUUAAGAAAUGGAAAGUGCGGUGGUAUCUCGGCAUUUAAUGAUAGAACGGAAGAGUCAUCGGCCAUGCAAUAUUUUCAAUUUUAUGGUUAUUUAUCACAGCAACAAAAUAUGAUGCAAGAUUAUAUAAGGACGAGCACUUAUCAACGUGCAAUUCUCGGCAAUUUAUCUGACUUUAAAGACAAAGUUGUAUUAGAUGUAGGUGCUGGUUCUGGUAUUUUAUCAUUUUUUGCAAUUCAAGCUGGUGCAAAAAAAGUCUAUGCUGUAGAAGCAAGCAAUAUGGCAAAUCAUGCAGAAUUAUUAGUUGCUGCUAAUAAUUUAUCGGAUAAGAUUAUAGUAAUAGCUGGAAAAAUCGAAGAAAUAGAUCUACCAGAACAUGUUGAUUGCAUAGUCAGUGAACCUAUGGGCUACAUGUUGUAUAAUGAAAGAAUGCUUGAAACUUAUCUUCAUGCCAAAAAAUGGCUAGUACCAGGUGGAAGAAUGUUUCCUUCUAGAGGAGACUUGCAUAUCGCGCCAUUUUCCGAUGAAAAUCUUUACAUGGAACAAUUUAAUAAAGCCAAUUUCUGGUAUCAAACAUGUUUCCAUGGUGUAGAUCUCUCUGCAAUGAGAAGUAAUGCAGUUAAAGAAUAUUUCCGCCAACCUAUUGUUGAUACCUUUGAUAUAAGAAUUUGUAUGGCUAAAUCUGUUAGGCAUAUCGUAGAUUUCCAGACAGCUAAAGAGACUGAUUUACAUAAAAUAGCUAUAGAUGUUGACUUUCACAUAUUAGAAAGUGGUACAUGCCAUGGUCUUGCAUUCUGGUUUGACGUGGCGUUUAUUGGUAGUGCUCAACAAGUUUGGUUAAGUACUGCUCCUACAGAACCUCUUACACAUUGGUAUCAAGUGCGUUGUCUUCUUGAAAAUCCAUUAUUUUGUAAAAGUGGCCAGUUACUUUCAGGAAAAGUAAUUCUUAUUGCUAACAAAAGGCAAUCUUAUGAUGUGACAAUAGAACUCAAAUUAGAAGGGACAAAUUUGGAAAGCAGUAGUAAUACUUUAGAUCUAAAAAACCCUUACUUUAGGUAUACAGGAGCAGCAGCGCAACCGCCUCCUGGUUUAAAUAAUACUUCACCUAGUGAAUCUUAUUGGAAUUCUCUGGAUGCACAAGGUGCUCGGCAAGCUGUUAACAUGGUUAAUGGCAUGUCAGUUAAUGGUCUUGGUGAGGUUUCAAUGGAUACUAGCGCUGCAGUAAAUGCCAGUAAUUUACUUGCUAUUGGUGGUCAACCGAAUAUUCACCCUGGUUCGAUAACAAGUACUGGACGUGGCCGAGUAGGUGGUACAGCUACAAGUACACAAGCAGCACAAUUGAUAGGUGGUGGAAUAACACCUAAUAUGUUCACAUCUCCAGCUACUCUUGGUGUUACUUUCCAGCAAUCGCUGGUCCUUGGAAAUACGUCACAUUAUCCAGUAAAUCCAAGUCUAAUGAUUGGUGAUUAUGUGACACCUGGAAACGGCAUAUCAUCUCAGACUUACCGACAAUGAUCUAUGGCAAAAUCUUUUUGCACUGAAUAUUCUCGCAAAGUAAAACAGUUACAGAAUGAUCCUCGCCAUAGUAAUUCUAGCAACGUUGGUGACAAGGGCAACAGUAAACAAAGCCCGGUAACAGUGUCGCUUAUUUGAGUAAGCCUACAAUUGAUUCUGUAUUUGGAUUUGGUUGGGGUUCUGGAAGGAAUAAUUCUCAAUGGGAGGCACGUUGGAGGAGAUUGCGAGCCAUCCCCUCGUAGCUGUCAAUAUUUUGUACUGUCAUCUUUUAUUUCAUCGCCCUUUGAAGAUCGGAUCUUCCAGAUUGAAGUGCACGCUUGCCAAAUAUAUCCAGGAAGAUAUAAUAUUUUUUAACGACAAUACAGUUUACCAUAUGCAGCGUUCUACGCCUUACUAUUUUACCAAGUCCUGAUAUGGUCUAUGCAUCAGUAAUUUGUAAGGAAUUGUAGACCGAUCAUAAAUCGUGUUGUGAUUUCUUGUUUUUUCCUUUAAAAGACUUUAAAACUUUUAGUACCAGCAAGAUAUCGGAGAUUGUACAUCGAUUAGUUGUUGGCAUAACUGGUUUUCAAUAUCAAAUGACUUUUACACAACUCGUAGAAUAGAAAACAACAUUUUUAACGUUUUGCAAAGUGCAAAGAGCAAUAAUCUGAUAAGCAUACAAUAUUAAGCACUUUGUGGCAGAAUUUAUUAUAUAAUUACAUACAAUAUUUUUGUAUAUAUUUCAUUCCUUAUUUUUAUUAUUCUAUUUUAAACAGGUAUAGUAAAAAAUAUUUUAUAAUCUUUUCUUUUUAUUUGCAUUUUGUAGGAUAACUUUUGCAUGGAUUGGUGCAUAAUUUAUAAACUUACCUUUAAAUUUAAUUCUACCCAACUACUAUUAUAUGUUACCAUUCUUCUUAUAUAUUUAUAGAGUAUGGUCUGAUAAGACUUUCUAAAACUUAAUUUUUCAUAAAAGAUUUUUUUUUAAGACUGCUAUAAUAUGUUUUACUAUAAUAUGAUGUAUAUUAUAGUUUAUUGUAUCAGUAUUUAGGGUGCUUAAAUUUAUGUAAAAACGAAGAACUGAUUUACAGUAAUGUAUCCAAAACCUAAACAUGGUAAAAAUGUAACAGGUUUCUUUUUAAUCUAUAGCGUGUUCUUCCAUAAUAAAAAAAUGCAAAUAUAUAAAUAUAUAUAUAUAUAUAUAUAUAUAUGUAUAUGUAUGUAUAUGAUUUAUAAUUGCGUUAAGCAUUGAAUACUCAUAUUACUUUGUGUCUGGCAUUCCACAAGUGCUUCUAAUAUUGUAUGAUUUGUUGUAUAUAACAUAAAAGCCUGCUUCUCUUCCAUUCUUUCUUUGUAAGAAAAUAAUUACACUAAAAGCAAUAUUUGAAAGAUAUCGAUAACCAAAAGAAAAUGACAAAACUUUUUUCUCUGCUUUUCUGAGUAUUGCUUUCAACGUCAUCAUUGUAUAUUUGUGUGAGUGUGCAUAGUUUUUCUUUUUAUGUAAUUGCAAUAUAAUGACUGAAAGUUAUAUGACAUCUCAGGAAGCGAUACAAGUAGUUGAUACUUUCAUUCUGUUCGUAAUUCUUUGUUUUUCUCUCAAUUUGUUUCAUAAUUACACAAUUUAUACACUCAAGAAAUUUAGUGCAAAUGUGAUGAUGCUGUAUUAUUAAUAUUACCCAUUGUUUUAUACAUCUAUAAAUCAUUGGUUAAUAGGAAUAAAAAUAGUAUUUGUCAUUGUUCAUAGUAUUAACAGUUACAUCAAGCUAUUGUUUCUGUAAUAUUAUAAUUUGAUCUAAAAGACAAAAGAAUUUCUUUUGUUUUGUUUUUAUAUAUUUACAUUGUUUUGUCCUAUUCCUGUGUUUUUAAAUGAAAGAAACAAGCUUGAGUACAUUUGACAUACUCUGAGGAAAUAAAUACUAUUCGUUUCAUGAAUAUCAUUCGGUAGGUACAUAAAUACACGAAGGGAAAGGUUAGAAUUGUGUUCAAAAUAAUAAUUAUUUAGUAUUUUACGCUAUAGAUGACAUAUAAAUUCAUCUUAAUUACUAAUAUAAUUAUGUCUCUACUUCCUCUGUGAUGGUUGAUAUGAAUAUGAUAUUUAGUAAAUCUUAGUACAAAGUAGUACAAAAAAAGGUAAUAAUAAUUUUGUUUUUAUAUCCUUUCUUCCUUUGACAGCCACAAUAAAUAAAUUCUAUUUGUCAAGCUGUAAGAAUUUAUCACUUUUCCAUUUUUAUAAAUUACCGAUGUGCUUCCAAAAUGUAUACACAAUGAUAUUUGGUCGAACGCUAAUCUAACUUUUACUUUCGUGUGGGAAUAUCAUACAUUAUGUUGCAUGUCUGAUCUGCUCGAAAAAGAAUAUUAUUCAAAAUUAGAAUUUUUAUUUUGUUUUUAUUUUAUUUUUUGUAAUUACAGUACGUAGUGCGUUUAUUUCUAUUUUUGUUUAAUUAAAAAUAAUAUUGUAAGACUAAAUUGCUCUUUAAAAACUGUAUCAUGUAUCACGAUAUUCAUUCAUUCAUUUUAAAGUAAUCGAUUGAUAGGACGAUUUGUUAAAUGAAUUUCAAUUGUAAUAAUAAUUUCAUGAUCAUUAAUCUGUCAUCCCCAUUGAUUCUUAUCACCGUCAAUAUUUAUCAUUGUACUUUUCAAUGUGAGAAGACUACAUUCGAAAGCGUGCGUUUUGUAUAAAAGCAUACGCGAGACAAUGUGCACCAUUCAAUAAGAUUAUGAUUAGUAUGCACGCGCCAUUUGUAUGUAUAGCCUUCGUGCGUGUGUGACGAAUACGCAUAGUAUUUUUUUGCAUCCAUUACAUUAAUGAGGUUUAUUUAUACGGCACAUUAUAUCACGAGCAAUUUUGAAUUGCACCGACUGAACAUCAGUUUUGUUGUAUUUACCUAACUACACAUAAACACAUACAUCCGUCGUGCUCGAUAAUUAAUUGUAAAUACUCUGAGAGUUUUUUUGGUUUUAAUUUGUUUCCUAUCCUUUUUUUUUUUUUAUUUUUUCUCCUUUUCUUCCCUUUCUUAGCAAACGCAUUAUAGUGUUCCAAUUCUUUGUAAUUAUAAACUAUCCUAGAGUAAGUCUGUUAGAAAAGUUUUAUAAUAUAUCUAACAGAAACUACGACCACCGGGGAUCUUCUUUUCCUUUGCAUUUUCUUCAUGAAAUGAAUUAUAAUAAGAAGAUCAUUAAUAUUUUGUUAUGUGUAAGGACACGUUGUAUAUAAAUGUGUCAAAAUUGCAUCUUCAGCUCAUGUAACUGGGCUAACAUGAUAUUCCGUUAACUUUAAGGAUGGUGCAAUUCUAGACAAAUCGUGUCGAUUAAUCGCUGUUUGCAUAAUACUGGUUCCAUGAAUUAUUUUUUAUAAUAGGAUUUUUUUGAUCAUUGUUUUUUUUUUAUUUUUGCUUUCAUCGAUCUCCCUCCACCAAGUUUAUAUUCCGCGAGUGUUCUUUUUUAUACUGUCCGAAACGACAAGAAUGUAUACGGAACUCUAUUAUGUUCCAUGACUUCGUUUUACCGCAAGUUAAGGAUUAUAUAAAAUUAUUGAUGACAGACGGUUUAGUAAUAAUGAUAUUUAUAACUGUCGAAUUAAUAAAUUAAGUUGCAAUUUUACCUCGCCGGCUCGUUAUUUAAUAAUAAUAAUAAUAAUAAUAAUAAUAAUAAUAAUAAUAAUAAUAAUAAUAAUCAUCAUCAUCAUCGUCAUCAUACUCGAGCGACUCAUUUUUUUAAAUAAGCCGGCUGUGGAAUUGAUCUGUGUGAGAAUGAGAUAGGCCGUUUCACACUACGACUGAAAUUAAACGGCGAUGUAGUGAAUAACGAAUAAUUAUACAAUAGUGUACGCACGAAUACGAAUCAAACGAGAUAUUGUACUUGUCAAUGAGAGACAAAAUUAUAUGGUGCGCGGUAAA